UCUUAUCAUACAGCUGUUACUCUUUUUCCUUGAUAUUCUCGCUUUCUCUCUCUCGGGUAGCGCACUGGUUGCGCUUCUUCGUUGCGGCACUGAGUGAGGCGGUUCACUCUUGCUGCCUCUUUCUCUUCUCUGUCCCUAGAAACAAACCAUCAUCUUCUCAGAUCUAUACAAAAAGCAAAACCCUAAACACUUCCUUGCCUUGUUUCGGUUCCUCUUCCAAUUUGAUCUCAUCAUCAAUGGCUUUCGCAUGCAGCAGAAUCGCGCAACGAACAUCAAUUUCAUCUAUAAAAUCAGUCAUCAAAUCCAACAUUCGCGCUUCUUCAUUCUCCAAACCAGCUUCCUCCUUUUCUCCUAUUUGCCAAUCCUUAUUGGCCAGGAUUUUGCAGGAGCUGAGAUGCGUGCAGUCGAUGUUGCCGCUGCACAGCACGGUGGCGGCGGCGAGAAUGAUGUCGUGUCUGACUUUCAAAAGUUGUCGAGCGCUUUCACCGGGUACUCUCUGCUGCACCUCUCCUAGCCUCUAAUACUCUCCUUUUCAAAAGUAUUCGCAAACCAUGAGUUGCUUCUCGGCUUGGGUUUAGUUUUUCUAUGGAUUUUCUUUUUUCUCUUCCCGCUUUCGAAUAAGCUUUGUGAAUUGUGAGUGCACUGCUAAAAUUAAGAAGAGAAAACUAAUACACUUAGUCUAUCUAUUUAUUUAAUUAGGACCCAUGCUUUGGUAUUUUUCUUAGGCAACUAGCAGUUUUUCAUUUGAGUUUAAUUGGCGAAUUUGGGAUUUUCAAAAUCAUUUAAAAAGCUUCACUCUAUUUGAUUUUGCUUUCUAAAUUUGUGCACCAUUUAGCCUCUUGAUAAUACUGUUGUGUUAAUUGUCGAUACAAGUAGAAGAUAAUUUCCCAAUCUAUAUCAGAGGUGUUCUGCUGUUUCUCCAACCUCUUGGCUAUCUCAGACUGGUAGAAGCUUUCCUUUAGGUCUUCCUCAUAGUAUGUAUUGAUUAACUGCUUCACCUUCCUCAUAGUAUGUAUUAAAAAGUCUUUUUAACAAAUAAAUUGGUGAUGCACCCUCAGGUCUUGAAGUGAGAGACAAUGCAAUAUCCAUGGAUGCAAUUUCUGCUACUAUCAUAUCUUAUAAUUUUUGGCCUCCAAUAUAGGUUUGCAGACAAGAUUCGUGUGAAAAUAAACUUAGGACUGCUUGUGUAAUUGUUGUUGCAAAUGCUUGUGUUUUACCUACUACUACUACUACUAUUAUUAUUAUUAACAAAAUUUUGACAGAGUUCUUUAAAAAGGAGCCUAGGUGGACUAUGUGUGCAAUUCUCAGCCCAACUUUUAAAGUACGGGAGUUUCAGUGUAUGAGAAUGAUGGGUCUAGAGUGGAAGGAUAUUGCUUUUGUUCAGAAGUCAAAUGUGGAGAGUUAUAUACAAUGAAUUACAGAUUUCCUUGGUCCGCAUGAAAGGUUCAAGGAAUGGGGAUUUCAUAAAGGUUUGGGCAACACUACUCUGGUUUUGGAAAAAGUGGUAUAUAUUCUUGAUCAAGUAAGGGCCUUAGAGGAAGAGAUACUCCAUAAGAUUGAGCUGCAAGGCUUGGUGUUAUUUUGUCUUUUAAGCAGCCACUCGAGAAAAGAUAAAUGCUAAAGUUGUUGGUGUUCUUUGGAUCGAACCUCAAGGAAGAGCAAGAAGAAGGAAAAGGAACCUAUGGAAAAGCCUCCGAGCAAGUCACAAAUUAAGAAAAGGCCUUCUAUGUGGUUCAUAGUGUAUGGGCAGCAGUAGAAGCUUAUCCAGCCCCUUCUAUUGUUCUACAUCACAUUCACAUGAUGUACUUCAUGUUUUUGACGAUUUUAGGGAGGCUUAUGCUUGGCUGAUUCAUAAUAUAGAAAAAAAAUGAUAAAGUAAGUUCUAUAGGAUUUCAUUAUUUCUUUGUUGAAAUGGAUUUGUGGUGUCUUGUGUACAACUUUUUUAUUGAUGUUGCCAACUUUGAUUAUCUUUGCCUUUUUCUCUCACCAAGUGCAGAAUUUAGGCUAAUUACUGAUAUUCUUUCUGAAAAAUAUUGUUGGAACUUGGAAUUAAUGGUGAUAGUUAUCUUGCAUUA